AGCGAACGCUGGCGGCAGGCCUAACACAUGCAAGUCGAACGAAGUCUUCGGACUUAGUGGCGGACGGGUGAGUAACACGUGGGAACGUGCCUUUAGGUUCGGAAUAACUCCGGGAAACUUGUGCUAAUACCGAAUGUGCCCUCCGGGGGAAAGAUUUAUCGUCUUUAGAGCGGCCCGCGUCUGAUUAGCUAGUUGGUGAGGUAAAGGCUCACCAAGGCGACGAUCAGUAGCUGGUCUGAGAGCAUGAUCAGCCACAUUGGGACUGAGACACGGCCCAAACUCCUACGGGAGGCAGCAGUGGGGAAUCUUGCGCAAUGGGCGAAAGCCUGACGCAGCCAUGCCGCGUGAAUGAUGAAGGUCUUAGGAUUGUAAAAUUCUUUCACCGGGGACGAUAAUGACGGUACCCGGAGAAGAAGCCUCGGCUAACUUCGUGCCAGCAGCCGCCGCGGUAA
rnacentral:rRNA from 1 species